UAAGAGGUCCCGCCUGCCCAGUGACUAUAUGUUAAAUGGCCGCGGUAUUUUGACCGUGCAAAGGUAGCGCAAUCACUUGUCUUUCAAAUGAAGACCUGUAUGAAUGGCAUCACGAGGGCUUAACUGUCUCCUUUUUCAAGUCAAUGAAAUUGAUCCCCCCGUGCAGAAGCGGGCAUAUAUACAUAAGACGAGAAGACCCUAUGGAGCUUUAGACACCAAGACAGACUACGUUAAACACUCCCGAACAAGGGACUAAACUUAGUAGCCCCCGUCCUAAUGUCUUUGGUUGGGGCGACCAUGGGGAAACAAAAAACCCCCACGUGGAUAGGAAGCACUACUAAACAAGACCUACUACAACCCAGAGCCCCCGCUCUAAUGACCAGAAAUUCUGACCAACAAGAUCCGGCAAAGCCGAUCAACGGACCGAGUUACCCUAGGGAUAACAGCGCAAUCCCCUUCCAGAGCCCAUAUCGACAAGGGGGUUUACGACCUCGAUGUUGGAUCAGGACAUCCUAAUGGUGCAGCCGCUAUUAAGGGUUCGUUUGUUCAACG
rnacentral:rRNA from 1 species